GUGAGGAAUAUUGCACAAUGGAGGAAACUCUGAUGCAGCAACGCCGCGUGGAGGAUGACGCAUUUCGGUGUGUAAACUCCUGUUAAGAGGGAAGAUUAUGACGGUACCUCUUGAAUAAGCACCGGCUAACUCCGUGCCAGAAGCCGCGGUAUUACGGAGGGUGCAAGCGGUACACGGAAUCACUGGGCGUAUAGGGUGCGCAGGCUGACUUUUAAGUCAGGCGUGAAAUCCUAUGGCUUAACCAUAGAACUGCGCUUGAAACUGGGGGUCUAGAGUUCAGAAGGGGCAGAUGCAAUUAGUGGUGUAGGGGUAAAAUCCGUAGAUAUCACUAGGAAUAUCAAAAGCGAAGGCGAUCUGAUGGGAUGAUACUGACGCUGAGGCACGAAAGCGUGGGGAGCAAACAGGAUUAGAUGCCCGUGUAGUCC
rnacentral:rRNA from 1 species